ACCUCCACGUUGUUGCCCUCCUCCUGUCGUCCCUCUCAUUUCUCUCCCUGAAAACCCUACUUUCCCUUUCUCCUCCGUUGGCUUCGAUUCCCAGUUCGCGGGGUAGCCAUGUAGCAGCUAGCAGGAGCUCUUGAUAUGGCCGGGACGACAACAUUGGUAGCACGCCUUGGUCCUGUUCGUUCCUCCUCUGCUUCCUCCUUGUCCUCCGAUCAUAGCAAGCACCUUGUUCAGUGAGUGGGCAAGCUCGUGGCUCAGUAUGUUCGACCUCACCGUGUUAAAUUCAGACCCCAAUCCCAUCAUAAAUUUAUGGGGUCUUCUCUUGCUCUCUUUGUGCCGCAUACAUCCUGGUCCUCGAGCAUGUGCACGUCGGUAUCUCCAGGUAAUUGUCUAGCUCAUCUUAGAGAGUCUUUAGCCGUGAAAAAUAUUUUGGAACCAACAUGCCUUCCUGUUUCAGACUUCCUAUCUCGGCCUUUAACUGAUAAAUCCUUGUCUCGUUCCCCUGCGAGUACCUUUCACGAAGAUCUUCCCACAACGUUUGUGCCACUGUUGCACAAGCCGCACUAGGUUGGAGCUCAGGAUCCAGUGUAUUGAAUAUCCACGAUAUUACCAACGCAUACCCCAUCGUGCCCAGUUGGGAUGGCCUUCUGGUGGUCUUGGCACUGAUCCAUCCACCAUUCCGACCUUAUUCUUGGCUAUUAACGCUGUCAUCAUGGCUCUCGACCAUGUAUGGUCAACUCCGACAGCCUUAAUGCUGCCCUUUCCUAAUGAUUCUUCACCCUUCUCCAUCCCGACCAACACUCACAAACAACCACAACAACUCUAGGCUAGGUAUAACUCAAACCCAAAACUGCACUGCUCAGAUACCAUGAUAGUUUGUCGACUAGAAGCUCAAAUCCUUUCAUUACUCUGAUCAUGUACAUAUAUUACUGGUUUACAAAGGAAAAGAGGAAAGAUAUAUAUAUUGCCUAAUAUAUGUGUAACUAAUAAGGCUAGCUAUGAUUAUAUAUACAACAUAUCUCCGCUAAUCUUGGCAAUAUAUCUUUGUGAUAUAUCCUGUAAUAAGAGGAGUCUGGCGGUGAAGGAAACGGCGGGUGGUGAGAGCCAGCCGCAGCAGGAAACUGAUGUCUUUGGAGUGCCUUUGGCUGAAGUGACAGUGAUUCUGGAGCCAGAUAAAAAGGUCUUCAACAAUGAUUCGAGACUUUUGACGAAGGAUGAUGAAAUAACUUCACUUAGAAACAAGUAGGAUGAAAGAGUAAAAGAACUAGAAGUAGCCCGCCAGGCGAGAGAAAGCCUGAAAAGUCAGUUGAGUGAAGCCUCGAUGAACAUUUCCUCUGCUAAGAACAAGAAAGAGGAGACAGCCUUGAGGCUGAGUCUAGCGAUAGAAGAGCUACAAUCAAGCAGAGAAGAUGUCGGACAGUUGAACAAAAAGCUUGAAAAUGCGGAACAAAUCAGGAGGACGCUCGAAGAAGAGAUGAAUGAGCUGAGGCUGCAGACGGAGAAGCGGAAAUUAGAAGCAGAUGCUACAGCUGAAAUGCUUGCUGCAUGUGCAGAGGAGGAGGAGACUAGGAUUUUUGGGAGACAUAUUGGGUCAAUGGAUAAUAAGGAUGAUGAUAUUGCCUUACUAUUAGACAUCCUUCGAUAGUUACGUUGAGGUAGCCGAUUAUCUGGGUUGAGAUCAUGGAGGAGGCUCGGGGUUUAGAAUAUUCGGGGACUUGUGGAAAAGGAAAGGGCUGAACUAAUGAAUUAAUGUUCUUCUUUGUUAUAUGUCCGAUCUGGUUUUGUUAAUGCUCAAGUGAAAUGCAUGAUUGCAUAUCUUUUUUAUUCUUUUUUUUUUCCUUUCUUUUUCCGUUGAAUGAAGAAGCUUAUCCUGCUUUUAGGUAUAUACAUGAUAGCUUAUA